rnacentral:rRNA from 1 species
CCACCGCGGUUAGACGAGAGGCCCCAGUUGAUAUUAUAAACGGCGUAAAGGGUGGUUAGGGGUAAACAAAAUAAAGCCAAAUGGCCCCUCGGCCGUCAUACGCUUCUAGGUGUCCGAAGCCCUAAUACGAAAGUAGCUUUAAUAUACAGACCCGACCCCACGAAAGCUGAGAAACAAACUGGGAUUAGAUACCCCACUAUGCUCAGCCGUAAACUUAGACAUCCAACUACAAUUAGAUGUCCGCCAGGGUACUACGAGCAUUAGCUUAAAACCCAAAGGACCUGACGGUGUCUCAGACCCCCCUAGAGGAGCCUGUUCUAGAACCGAUAACCCCCGUUUAACCUCACCACUUCUAGCCACCCCAGCCUAUAUACCGCCGUCGUCAGCUUACCCUGUGAAGGACAUAAAAGUAAGCAAAAUGAGUACAACCCAGAACGUCAGGUCGAGGUGUAGCGCAUGAAAUGGAAAGAAAUGGGCUACAUUUUCUGCCACAGAAUAUUACGAACAUGUACCAUGAAAUAGUGCUUGAAGGAGGAUUUAGUAGUAAAAGGGAAAUAGAGUGUCCCUUUGAACCCGGCUCUGAGACGCGUACACACCGCCCGUCACUCUCCCCUGUCAAAACGCAUUAAAAAUACUUAAUACAAAAGCACUGACAAGGGGAGGCAAGUCGUAACACG